CAGCCAUAUUACAUUAAAACACCAGUUCUUGUCUGAUCAUUGAAGUUAAGCAACAUCGAGCAUGGUCAGUAGCUACAUGGGUGACUGCUUGGGAAUACCAGGUGCUGUAAG